rnacentral:rRNA from 1 species
CCUACGGUAGGCAGCAGUUGGGAAUAUUUGGCCAUGGGCGCAAGCCUGACCCAGCACCUCCGCGUGAAGGAAGACGGCUUUCGGGUUGUAAACUUCUUUUGUCAGUGAAGAGUAGAAGACGGUACCUGACGAAUAAGCCACGGCUAACUACGUGCCAGCAGCCGCGGUAAUACGUAGGUGGCAAGCGUUGUCCGGAUUUACUGUGUGUAAAGGGCGUGUAGCCGGGUUGACAAGUCAGAUGUGAAAUCCUGCGGCUGAACCGCAGAACUGCCUUUGAAACUGUUGAUCUUGAGUACUGGAGAGACAGACGGAAUUCCUAGUGUAGCGGUGAAAUGCGUAGAUAUUAGGAGGAACACCAGUGGCGAAGGCGGUCUGCUGGACAGCAACUGACGGUGAGGCGCGAAAGCGUGGGGAGCAAACAGGAUUAGAUACCCUUGUAGUC